AAUCACUCUUCUGUACAACUAUGUUCAAUGUGUGCUGGUGGUACUGAGCCAUCACCCUCUGUCAUUUUCUACCCCCUCACAUUUCCAGGUUGUUGUUUUUUUUGUAUCCGCAAGUUUACUUUUUUCUUUCUUUCUUUCUUUCUUUCUCUAAUCUAUCCCUUUGUGUCAAUUUCUGGGUAAAAUAUUUUAUUAAAACAAACGUCAUUCCAUUUGUUCCUGUUGCUUGCAUGCUGCUGUUCCCUCGAACUUGUUUCCGGGGGCGUUGUAAAGGAUUAAGACUGAGGUCAGGGACCCUGGGGGUAGGGAGAUUGUAGUGUUUGUCUUUCAGUUAUGCAUUUAGUUAUGCAUUUAGGCUCCUCCCUCCCCCCGUCAAAAAUCACAGUUUAAUUAGAUAAAGUUUUGUUCGAAUCCAGUUUUUUUUUAGCCAGCUUUAUAAAAAGUGUUUACAGUAUGUACUUAUGGAUUGCUGAUAACCUUGAAUCUCGUCGCGUUUUCAGAUCUUACUUUGAAUCCCUGGUUUAUAUCUUGGUCACAGGAGCUAAAUGUUGCUUCUCUUCUGAGACAUGAGUUGUUUUGUGGAAGUGUCGCAAAAGUGAAAUGAGCAGCACAUAGUUGACUUUGGAAACGCAAACAUGUUGGCCAGAACUCCAUCCAACAUGGCAUGUCUUUGCAGGAAUGCAGAGCACUUGAGUUAACAAGCAACGUACAAUACCUUUUUUGGGCCUUGUCUGGUUGUAUUUGCAAUUCCAGAACAGAUAUUGAACCUAAUCUAGAGCUAAGGUACCCAGACAGUCUGGAUUUGAGUUUGUUUGGAUUGUGUUUUAAGAUUUUACUAGAUUUGCGAUGUCUGUCAAAUCUCUCUAGUCUUUAUAACAUUUACUUUUAUCAACAUAGUAUGUACACUAGAUGUUUCUUUUAUUUAAGAUCAUGGAUAUCAUUGAUGUCAUAUCUUUAGACUGUUUUGCAAGUGGUACCAGUAAAAUGCUCCAUAAGCACAAUGAUGUAAGAUGUAGAAACUUUCAACCAGAAAGACGCAUUAAAAAGGUUUCCUUUCUGGAGA